rnacentral:rRNA from 1 species
GAUGAACGCUAGCGGCAGGCUUAAUACAUGCAAGUCGAGGGGCAGCAUGAUUGUAGCAAUACAAUUGAUGGCGACCGGCAAACGGGUGCGGAACACAUACACAACCUUCCAACAAGUGGGGGAUAGCCCAGAGAAAUUUGGAUUAAUACCCCGUAACAUAGCGAUGUGGCAUCACAUUGCUAUUAUAGAUUUUUCGCUUGUUGAUGGGUGUGCGGCUGAUUAGAUAGUUGGCGGGGUAACGGCCCACCAAGUCUACGAUCAGUAGCUGAUGUGAGAGCAUGAUCAGCCACACGGGCACUGAGACACGGGCCCGACUCCUACGGGAGGCAGCAGUAAGGAAUAUUGGACAAUGGACGCAAGUCUGAUCCAGCCAUGCCGCGUGAAGGAUUAAGGUCCUCUGGAUUGUAAACUUCUUUUAUAAGGGACGAAAAAAGGCUUUUCUAGGUCGUCUGACGGUACCUUAUGAAUAAGCACCGGCUAACUCCGUGCCAGCCGCCGCCGUAAAAC